UUGAUCCCUGGCUCAGGAUGAACGCUGGCGGCGUGCUUAACACAUGCAAGUCGAACGAUGAUCCCAGCUUGCUGGGGGAUUAGUGGCGAACGGGUGAGUAACACGUGAGUAACCUGCCCUUAACUCUGGGAUAAGCCUGGGAAACUGGGUCUAAUACCGGAUAUGACUCCUCAUCGCAUGGUGGGGGGUGGAAAGCUUUAUUGUGGUUUUGGAUGGACUCGCGGCCUAUCAGCUUGUUGGUGAGGUAAUGGCUCACCAAGGCGACGACGGGUAGCCGGCCUGAGAGGGUGACCGGCCACACUGGGACUGAGACACGGCCCAGACUCCUACGGGAGGCAGCAGUGGGGAAUAUUGCACAAUGGGCGAAAGCCUGAUGCAGCGACGCCGCGUGAGGGAUGACGGCCUUCGGGUUGUAAACCUCUUUCAGUAGGGAAGAAGCGAAAGUGACGGUACCUGCAGAAGAAGCGCCGGC
rnacentral:rRNA from 1 species